UAGGGAAUCUUCGGCAAUGGGGGCAACCCUGACCGAGCAACGCCGCGUGAGUGAAGAAGGUUUUCGGAUCGUAAAGCUCUGUUGUAAGUCAAGAACGGGUGUGAGAGUGGAAAGUUCACACUGUGAUGGUAGCUUACCAGAAAGGGACGGCUAACUACGUGCCAGCAGCCGCGGUAAUACGUAGGUCCCGAGCGUUGUCCGGAUUUAUUGGGCGUAAAGCGAGCGCAGGCGGUUUGAUAAGUCUGAAGUUAAAGGCUGUGGCUCAACCAUAGUUCGCUUUGGAAACUGUCAAACUUGAGUGCAGAAGGGGAGAGUGGAAUUCCAUGUGUAGCGGUGAAAUGCGUAGAUAUAUGGAGGAACACCGGUGGCGAAAGCGGCUCUCUGGUCUGUAACUGACGCUGAGGCUCGAAAGCGUGGGGAGCGAACAGG
rnacentral:rRNA from 1 species